UCUGCCCCUAGAGGCAUUGUGGAUGUGGCUCUUGUUCAACAGUAGGUGGCAGAGAGGAGAAAGGCUGUCUAAGCUCAGUGUUCUGACCUAUGACAUCUUUAACAUUUCCUGAAAGAAACAAGCCUGAGACCACAACCAGCCUGAUACC
ensembl:snoRNA